GAUGAACGCUGGCGGCGUGCCUAAUACAUGCAAGUCGAGCGAACAGACGAGGAGCUUGCUCCUCUGACGUUAGCGGCGGACGGGUGAGUAACACGUGGAUAACCUACCUAUAAGACUGGGAUAACUUCGGGAAACCGGCGCUAAUACCGUAUAAUAUCUUGAACCGCAUGGUUCAAUAGUGAAAGACGGCUUUGCUGUCACUUAUAGAUGGAUCCGCGCCGCAUUAGCUAGUUGGUAAGGUAACGGCUUACCAAGGCAACGAUGCGUAGACGACCUGAGAGGGUGAUAGGCCACACUGGAACUGAGACGCGGUCCAGACGCCUACGGGAGGCAGCAGUAGGGAAUCUUACGCAAUGGGCGGAAGCCUGACGGAGCAACGCCGCGUGAGUGGUGAAGGUCUUCGGAUCGUAAAACUCUGUUAUUAGGGAAGAACAAAUGUGUAAGUAACUAUGCACGUCUUGACGGUACCUAAUCAGAAAGCCACGGCUAACUACGUG
rnacentral:rRNA from 1 species